ensembl:lncRNA
CAUCUGGCCUCUCCACACAGGCUCCCCACACCCAUUUCCGCAUUCCAAUCUCAGUCCUGCACUCAUCAGCAAACUAGGCACUUGGCCUGCCGGAAUUUAAAAAAUUCCCUCUGAGAAUUGCCCUAUUGCAGCUUGCCCCAUACGUCCUCAGCCAGCCCACUUGCCAGCAGCCCCACCUGGCUGCCAAUGGCGGUUCGCCUCGUCCAUGCCCAGUCCCUUCAUAACCAAUGAGACUACCUCCGCUUUGUUUCCCCCACAGCCUAUCAACUACCUCCACUCCCUAUACAACCCCAUGCCCUAAGAAGAGAAGCGUGACUUCUCUGGCCCCUUUCCCGGACCAUAGAACCUCACCUGGGAGCUGAAUAAAUUGGCUUUUACUUUUUUACUCCGAUCUCCAUUUCCUCCUGUAACUUGGCAAUAAACCUUACAUCUGGUGCCAAAACCCUGCCAGACCAGGAGCCUCUCGCCCCGAGAUACCUUUUCUGGAUGGAUUGAGGCCUUCCCUGCCCCCAAGGAAACUGCAGACAUGGUGGCCUCCCUCUUAAUUCGGGAAAUCAUUCCUCGCUUCGGCCUGCCUGUAACCAUCCAGUCAGACAACGGCCCAGCAUUCACUGCUCGAGUAGUCCAGCUGGUUGCUGAGACCCUAAGUAUCUCUUGGAAGCUACACAUCCCGUACCAUCCUAAGUGGUUGGUGGCUGCUGGUAUAGGAGGCGGAGCAAUGGGCUACAGCGUUACUUCAGCAGCUCAGCUAGAAGACAAGCUCCAUGUAGCUAUUGAAGCUUCAGCUCCCUCUCUGGCAUCCCUUCAAGGACAAAUCACGUUGCUAGCUCAGUUAACUCCAAAACCGGCAGGCCCUAGACCUGCUGACGACGGAGAAAGGAGGUAAGUGUUUAUUUCUUCAGGAGCACUGUUGCUAUUACGUCAAUGAAACAGGCCAAGUGGAGGAAAAUGUCAACACUCUCUAUCGCCUCCAAGAAGACCUCCUAAGAAAACAAAACGCACCAGCCUCCUCUCUUAACUGGUGACAGUUCCCUGUGUUCACCUGGCUAGUUCCCAUUAUCAUCCCCCUCAUCAUGGUUUGUCUUUUGCUAAUGUUAGCCCCGUUCUUUCUUUGGUUUUUACAAGCUCGCAUAAGAGAAAUCUCCAGGACAGCAGUAAACCAAAUGCUGCUUCACGCCUAUGUCUGACUCCCAACCGAGGCACCGGCCAACUGACCUCCCUACUCCACCCCUGUUCAGCAGGAAGUAACCAGAAAGAAGCAACAUCCUAUGUCAUCGAAAAGAUCGGAAUGUAAGGCCGGUUGCCUAGUCGGGGGCCAAAUGGACACACCCAUUCCUCUCCAUACCUGAAAACGACGUCAUCAUUCUGAGCACAUUACUCAGCAUCUGACCUCUCCACGUGGGCUCCCCACACCCAUUUCUGCAUUCCAAUCUCAGUCCUGCACUCAUUAGCAAACUAGGCACUCAGCCCGGCCGAAAUUUUAAAAAUCCCGCUGAGACCUGCCCUAUUGCAGCUUGCCCUUAUGUCCUCAGCCCCACAGCCCCGCCUGGCUGCCAAUGGCAGUUCGCCUCAUCUGUGCCCAAUCCCUUCAUAACCAAUGAGACUACCUCCUCUUCGUUUCCCCCACAGCCAAUCAAUUACCUCCAUUCUCUGUACAACCCCACGCCCUAAGAAGAGAAGCACUUCUCUGGCCCCUUUCCCCGACCAUAGAACCUCGUCUGGGAGCUGAAUAAAUUGGCU